rnacentral:rRNA from 1 species
GACGAACGCUGGCGGCGUGCCUAAUACAUGCAAGUCGAGCGGGCCUCCGGAGGUGCUUGCACCUCCGGAAGGCCAGCGGCGGACGGGUGAGUAACGCGUGGGCAACCUGCCUUUGAGGCCGGGAUAACACCGGGAAACCGGUACUAAUACCGGAUGCGUCCCCUUUCGCGCCUGCGAGAGGGGAGAAAGACGGUCUUUAAGGCCGUCGCUCAAAGAGGGGCCCGCGGCGCAUUAGCUGGUUGGUGGGGUAAGGGCCAACCAAGGCGACGGUGCGUAGCCGACCUGGGAGGGGGAUCGGCCACACUGGGACUGAGACACGGCCCAGACUCCUGCGGGAGGCAGCAGUAGGGAAUCAUCCGCAAUGGGCGAAAGCCUGACGGUGCAGCGCCGCGUGAGUGAGGAAGGUUUUCGGAUCGUAAAGCUCUGUUGUGAGGGAAGAACAGCUUCCGGAGGAAAUGCCGGAGGUUUGCCGGUACCUCACCAGAAAGCCCCGGCUAACUACGUGCCAGCCGCCGCCGUAA